rnacentral:pre_miRNA from 1 species
AAAAAGUCAAACCCUAGUUUUUUUUUUCUAACAUUUGACUGUCUGUCUUAUAUGAAUUUUUUUUAUAAUUAGUAUUUUUAUUAUUGUUAGAUGAUAAAAUAUGAUUAAUACUUGCGUGACUUGUGUUUUUUAGUCUUUUUUUUCAUAAUUUUUUUAAAUAAGAUGAACGUCACGUUGUACACGGAGACUC